AUGCAGAUUCCUUCUUUUCUCCUGAUCCUUUUUUUUUUUUUUUUGAAGGAUUGCUUCAUGGUCAAAAGAUGGCUGCUAGAGAUCCAGUUUUCAUGUCUCAAACAGGAAGAAGGAGAAAGCACUAAAUGCCAACAGAGUCUAAGACCAGAUUAUACCCUCUUUGAACUGAUUUCCUGGAAGCCCCGCACCAAGCUCCAGAGGGACGGACAAGCCGACCGGAAGCACAAGAUGCAGAUAACUGCUGCUGAGACCUGUAGAGUGAGCCAGGGUGAUGACAAGGCAGUGAUGCUGAUGAUGGAGAGAGCUAACGGCUGCUGGGAACAUUCUACAUGAUGAGUAUCACACACCGCUUGGUGCUGCGAACACCGCCGCCGUGGUGAUGAAUGCAGAAUUUACAUUCCAGUGGGAGAGGAGGACUACGAGACGUAAACAGACUUGGAGGAAAGUGUCCGCUUGUGAUAGGCCCUGUGAAUAAAGAUACCGCGGGGAGAGGAGAGAGCA
rnacentral:lncRNA from 1 species